rnacentral:lncRNA from 1 species
UUUUUUUUUGUAUCAAGAUUAGCUUUCAAACCCCAGACAAGUGAAAAUAAAUUUUGAUGUCCUGUUCUCCCAUCACAUGGAAUCCAGAAACAUUUGGCAAUAGCACAGUCAGCUUUUGUUGAAGCAGUACCCCCAAGGAGGCUCUGAGUUUGGUAGCUGUGCACCACUACUAUGCUAGUAUUUUGUGGGAAGGCUGCACAGGCUCAGCUUCCAUGACAUUUAAGAGAAAGGGCAGUUUAGCUCUCACUUGAUGCAAUCUAGGCUUACCAAUUUGAACAGGAUAGGGAAAUUGUUUAGAAAAAGCAACAAGCCAAGCUGCAACUAAAGAAUUAAGCUCCUGCCUAGGUUCUAAGAAACUGUACAACUGGGGAGUUUUUAAAACAUCUAUUAACAUAAAGUAUAUUGUUAAUCAUCAGUGUCUGAAAAAUACUGGUUUAUUUAUUAAUUUCACUUUUGUCCUUUGUUGUCUUCCAAUCUACAUCUGUACCAUAUCCUGGCAGUAGGGCAUUUAGCUGACAACAUUUAUCAAAUAAGAUUACUGAGGUGUCUUAAGUUACUUUAAAUGUCAGUCUUCCCUUGUCUUCUUUCACAUCCAUUAAUCUGUAUGUUAGGUAUUUUCUGAGUCCAUAUCUAGUCUUCAGUGAACCCCAAAAGGAAUUUUCUUGAGGAAAGCAUGCAAGCUUGCAGACACUUUAAAAAAAUGUGAACAUCAUCUGUGGGAAUGUGAACCAUUUCCUAAUGGCUCAGUAAGAAGUCCUGCAGAUGUUUCCUCACUCUCUGCUGCAUGAAGUUUUGUGCAGCCUUUUUCAUACUGCUAUAACUGAUGGGAGCCUUUUCUAAAAACAGUUUUUCACUUUUAGAUUCUGCAACUGCAAGAAGCUGUAACAAUUAAGAGAAAUAAGAAACAACCUAGCAAUAUGUUUCACUUCACAAUACGUUGUUAAACCAAUCUAGGCUAGUUGGAUUUUCCUACUUCUGGAUUACUUCACCGUACGUAGUGAAUACAUUUAAAUGCAACUGCCUGCUCUUGCAAAAUCCAUACUUUGAAUUGGUUUAGGUUUCCAGCUAUUUUUGGAGGCAAGUAUAUCCUAGAUGACAGUUGUUUGUUACCAGUCAAAGGACUUGGGAAUUCUGUAAUAACAGUUUUUGUCAUUAUGUACCAUGUUUAUAUUUGAAUAAAAUCCAUUCAUUCUU